rnacentral:rRNA from 1 species
CCUACGGGGGGCUGCAGUGGGGAAUAUUGGACAAUGGGCGCAAGCCUGAUGCAGCCAUGCCGCGUGUGUGAAGAAGGCCUUCGGGUUGUAAAGCACUUUCAGUGGGGAAGAAAGCCUUGGGGCUAAUACCCUCGAGGAAGGACAUCACCCACAGAAGAAGCACCGGCUAACUCCGUGCCAGCAGCCGCGGUAAUACGGAGGGUGCGAGCGUUAAUCGGAAUUACUGGGCGUAAAGCGCGCGUAGGCGGUCUGAUAAGCCGGUUGUGAAAGCCCCGGGCUCAACCUGGGAACGGCAUCCGGAACUGUCAGGCUAGAGUGCAGGAGAGGAAGGUAGAAUUCCCGGUGUAGCGGUGAAAUGCGUAGAGAUCGGGAGGAAUACCAGUGGCGAAGGCGGCCUUCUGGACUGAAACUGACGCUGAGGUGCGAAAGCGUGGGUAGCAAACAGGAUUAGAUACCCCGGUAGUC